rnacentral:lncRNA from 1 species
AAUGGUCUCCUCUCUAGCCCCCACCUCAUCUUCCAUGGCUUCUCAUUGACUUCACGGCAAAGUCCAACCCCUCAGGAUGGCACAUCUGAAGUUCAGCUCAUUCAUCCUCACUGCUCUAUCUGACUGCCAGCUCGGACUCGCAAUGUGUUGAGGAUGGAUUGAAGAAUGAAAUCUGGAUUGUAUCACUGAGGGUUUUGAUGAAGAAAAAUGGAAAGCUGAAAACCUUGUGAAUUUAUAUCUGGCUCUGUAUCAAGAGAAGCGUCUCAUUCUCCAGAGGUGACCCUGUGGACAGGGGUCUAGGUGAGACCUGCAUGCUAGAGACCACUUAAUGUCUUCUUAUAGAUGGAGAGGCAAAUUAGGC